AGGCUGUCGGUGGGGUAAAGGCCCACCGAACCUAUAACGGGUAGGGGCCGUGGAAGCGGGAGCCUCCAGUUGGGCACUGAGACAAGGGCCCAGGCCCUACGGGGCGCACCAGGCGCGAAACGUCCCCAAUGCGCGAAAGCGUGAGGGCGCUACCCCGAGUGCCUCCGCAAGGAGGCUUUUCCCCGCUCUAAAAAGGCGGGGGAAUAAGCGGGGGGCAAGUCUUGUGUCAGCCGCCGCGGUAAUACCAGCCCCGCGAGUGGUCGGGACUCUUACUGGGCCUAAAGCGCCCGUAGCCGGCCCGACAAGUCACUCCUUAAAGUCCCCGGCUCAACCGGGGGAAUGGGGGUGAUACUGUCGGGCUAGGGGGCGGGAGAGGCCGGGGGUACUCCCGGAGUAGGGGCGAAAUCCUCUGAUCUCGGGAGGACCACCAGUGGCGAAAGCGCCCGGCUAGAACGCGCCCGACGGUGAGGGGCGAAAGCCGGGGCAGCAAACGGGAUUAGAUACCCGGGUAGUCCCGGCUGUAAACAAUGCAGGCUAGGUGUGGAAUGGGCUUAGAGCCCANUCGGUGCCGCAGGNAAGCCGUUAAGCCUGCCGCCUGGGGAGACC
rnacentral:rRNA from 1 species